CUGAGGUGGGGCUGUGCCUGUGGCGUGGCUGCAGUGGAGUGACUAAGAGUCAGGCAGGGGAGGGGAAGCCAGGUUAUGUCGGACAGUAAAGGUUCCGUAAGGCCGUGGGAACUGUUCCAAGUGCAGCACCUCAGAGCUGGCCCCUGCCCUCAAGUAGCUUCCAGUUUGUCAGAAGAGACAGACAUGAACCAAGGAGUCACUCCAUCAAAUGCAAAAGCAGAACUGUGACGGAUGUUAUGAGG
rnacentral:lncRNA from 1 species